AAAGCCGAUUGAUUAUUGCCUGUGAUUCUCUUUUUUUUUUUAUAUAUAUAAAUUGGGUAUUAAAUAUAUUUUAUUUUGUUUUGUUUUGAGAACCCCUAAUAAGAGAGUGGCUUGUCAAUUAUUAUAUUAUAGACUGAGAGAGAGAGAGAGAGAGAGAGGGGUCAUAGUGACGUGGCAUUCGGCCAGUGCAGCAGAAAACCCGUUCCUAACAAAACGGCAACAACCUGAUGAGCCUAAUGGACUGGUCCCCUGUUCCCAAUUCCUAUGAAUUUUACUUUCACCACAUGUUCGACACGUGAUAGCCCACCAUCUCUCUCCCUCUCUCCCUCUCUCCACGCGUCAUCCAUCCCUAGCUCCCUCUCUCUCUCUCUCUCUCUCUCUCUCUACAAGCCCCGUAUUGCGCCCUUUAUAAGAAGUUCCCCCGGAGUGCCAGCACCAGAAACAAAACAAAACAAUCACCUGGUCAGAACUCCACCUAUAAGACCUCUUCUUCCCUUCUUGAUUUUUAUAUAUAUAUCUCUUCAUAAGAACGUGCCGUGUCCGGUGCCUCGGUAUCUUAUCCGAUACGACUCCAAUUAUGACGGUGAAGCCCGUAAAGGACCCCCAAGAACGAGUCUCUGCCUCUGUUUCUGAGCUUCACAAACCCAAGGAACUCUCGUCCACCGAGUUGGCCAUGACGUUCCAUAAUCUAGCCGGGGAGAAAAUCUCCAAGGUUGAUCGCAAGGAGGUGGCCGCGAAAGCGUCUCCGAAGUCGAGGAAGAAGGUGAAGUAUGUACACAGCCAGAUCCUGAGGAUCAGAGAGGAGGACUCGCUCCUCGGCGAGGAUUUCAGUCUUGGUACCAAAGACAACGGUCAUCUUUAUCAUCAAUAUCACGAUCUGCAUUCGGAGAUGGACGUUGUGCUGUUCUCGAGGCCCAUCUUGCCGAGUUCUCCUCUCAGCGGCAAGACCACGACGUUGAAGGCAUCAUACUGAACAAAUCAAACGAGAGUGCUAUUAAGUUUUGUUUGUGGCAGGAAUAGUGUGGAAUGGCAAACUCAGAAAGCGACGAGCACGAGAGGUUGAAAUCAAGUGUGUAUUCUCUCACGCGAGGUUGAAAUCAAGUUUCGAAAGUGGCCAGAAAAGUCACAGAGAGAGAGAGAGAGAGAGAGAGAGAGAGAGAGAGAGAGAGGGAGGUCUUCUAUUGUACAGUGAAGAAGCAAAUACAAUAUAGCUUUUGAAACAAAUCGGCCUCUUUCCACUAUUUUCCAUAGACUCUCUCGCUCGUGUUUGUAUUGAGAUGUUGGUUAGGGGUUCAAAUUGGAACAACAUGACACGUCCUCCUCCACAUAUAUAAAACCCUGUAGUCAAAACAUCUUAAUAUUGGGAGAGGGAGAGGAAGGGCGGGUUAUUCACGAAA